GGGGAAACGAUAUUGGAAGCUUGCUUCCGAUAGGCGUCGACCGGCGCACGGGUGAGUAACGCGUAUCCAACCUGCCCAUCACUUGGGGAUAACCUUGCGAAAGUAAGACUAAUACCCAAUGACGUCUCUAGAAGACAUCUGAAAGAGAUUAAAGAUUUAUCGGUGAUGGAUGGGGAUGCGUCUGAUUAGCUUGUUGGCGGGGUAACGGCCCACCAAGGCAACGACCAGUAGGGGUUCUGAGAGGAAGGUCCCCCACAUUGGAACUGAGACACGGUCCAAACUCCUACGGGAGGCAGCAGUGAGGAAUAUUGGUCAAUGGACGAGAGUCUGAACCAGCCAAGUAGCGUGCAGGAUGACGGCCCUAUGGGUUGUAAACUGCUUUUAUAAGGGAAUAAAGUGAGUCUCGUGAGACUUUUUGCAUGUACCUUAUGAAUAAGGACCGGCUAAUUCCGUGCCAGCAGCCGCGGUAAUACGGAAGGUCCGGGCGUUAUCCGGAUUUAUUGGGUUUAAAGGGAGCGUAGGCCGGAGAUUAAGCGUGUUGUGAAAUGUAGACGCUCAACGUCUGCACUGCAGCGCGAACUGGUUUCCUUGAGUACGCACAAAGUGGGCGGAAUUCGUGGUGUAGCGGUGAUAUGCUUAGAUAUCACGAAGAACUCCGAUUGCGAAGGCAGCUCACUGGGAGCGCAACUGACGCUGAAGCUCGAAAGUG
rnacentral:rRNA from 1 species